GAGGAAUAUUGGUCAAUGGUCGGAAGACUGAACCAGCCAUGCCGCGUGCAGGAAGAAGCAUCUAUGGUGUGUAAACUGCUUUUGUACGGGAAGAAACACUCCUACGUGUAGGAGCUUGACGGUACCGUAAGAAUAAGGAUCGGCUAACUCCGUGCCAGCAGCCGCGGUAAUACGGAGGAUCCAAGCGUUAUCCGGAAUCAUUGGGUUUAAAGGGUCCGUAGGCGGUUAAAUAAGUCAGUGGUGAAAUCCGGCAGCUUAACUGUCGAACUGCCAUUGAUACUGUUUAACUUGAAUUACUGUGAAGUAACUAGAAUAUGUAGUGUAGCGGUGAAAUGCUUAGAUAUUACAUGGAAUACCAAUUGCGAAGGCAGGUUACUAAUGGUUUAUUGACGCUGAUGGACGAAAGCGUGGGGAGCGAAC
rnacentral:rRNA from 1 species